GCCCGUUGAGCUCCGUUGGUAGAGCAGCCGACUCUUACUUCUCAAUUCUGGUGACAGAAUUCGAAGUUAUCGGCAGGUCGUGGGUUCGAUCCCCACAAUGGGCU